rnacentral:rRNA from 1 species
CAGACAAUUAGCUACAUGGCUGAGCGGGUGGUAGGAACUGGUUCAUUUGGGAUUGUCUUCCAGGCUAAGUGCUUGGAGACUGGAGAGACUGUGGCCAUCAAGAAGGUGCUGCAGGAUCGCCGUUACAAGAACCGUGAGCUGCAGCUUAUGCGCUCCAUGGACCACCCCAAUGUCGUCUCUCUGAAGCACUGCUUCUUCUCGACCACAAGCAGGGAUGAGCUGUUCCUGAACCUUGUCAUGGAGUAUGUCCCUGAGACUCUAUACCGUGUGCUCAAGCACUACAGCAAUGCCAACCAGCGGAUGCCGCUUAUCUAUGUCAAGCUUUACAUGUAUCAGCUUUUUAGAGGGCUAGCUUAUGUUCAUACUGUUCCAGGAGUUUGCCACAGGGAUGUGAAACCACAAAAUGUUUUGGUUGAUCCUCUAACCCAUCAAGUCAAGAUAUGUGACUUUGGAAGUGCAAAAGUUCUGGUACCUGGUGAACCCAAUAUAGCAUACAUAUGCUCUCGCUACUAUCGUGCUCCUGAGCUCAUAUUUGGCGCAACUGAAUAUACAACUUCAAUAGACAUAUGGUCAGCUGGAUGUGUUCUUGCAGAGCUACUUCUUGGUCAGCCUCUGUUUCCAGGAGAGACUGCGGUUGAUCAGCUAGUGGAGAUUAUCAAGGUUCUUGGUACUCCAACCCGUGAGGAAAUUCGGUGCAUGAACCCCAACUAUACUGAGUUCAGGUUUCCUCAGAUUAAGGCUCAUCCUUGGCACAAGAUUUUCCACAAGAGAAUGCCCGCUGAAGCUAUAGAUCUUGCCUCCCGCCUUCUCCAGUAUUCACCAAACCUACGUUGCACUGCUCUUGAUGCAUGUGCACAUUCCUUCUUUGAUGAGCUACGUGAGCCGAAUGCACGCUUGCCGAAUGGCCGCCCAUUCCCUCCUCUGUUCAACUUCAAACCUGAACUAGCGAAUGCCUCUCCAGAGCUCAUCAACAGGCUUGUUCCGGAACAUGUUCGACGGCAAAAUGGCCUCAACUUCGCCCAUGCUGGGAGCUAG